rnacentral:rRNA from 1 species
UACGGAGUGUACAAGAGUUACUCGGAAUCACUGGGCGUAAAGGGCGCGUAGGCGGCCUAGCAAGUCUGGUGUGAAAGACCAGGGCUCAACCCUGGAAGGGCACUGGAAACUGUUAGGCUUGAGUUCCGGAGAGGAGGGGGGAAUUCCCGGUGUAGCGGUGAAAUGCGUAGAUAUCGGGAGGAAUUCCGGUGGCGAAGGCGCCCCUCUGGACGGAAACUGACGCUGAGGCGCGAAAGCGUGGGGAGCAAACAGG